rnacentral:ncRNA from 1 species
GACUAAUGUAGGUAAGGGAAGUCGGCAAAUUGGAUCCGUAACUUUGGAUUAAGGAUUGGCUCUGAGAAGCGGGGCGCGUCGGGCUUGGUCGGGAAGUGGGUCUGGUUGACGUGCCGGGCCUGGGCGAGGUGAAUGACCCUCCUUCACAGGGGGGUCGAGAUCCGAGCUCGGUACCGUGCCUUGGCCUUCCGCGGAUCUUCCUUGCUGCGAGGCUUUUGGGGCGGUUACACCGCCCUGAUCGUUCUCUUCGGCCGCCAUUCAACGCUCAGCUCAGAACUGGCACGGACUAGGGGAAUCCGACUGUCUAAUUAAAACAAAGCAUUGCGAUGGCCCUCGCGGGUGAUGACGCAAUGUGAUUUCUGCCCAGUGCUCUGGGAGAGAAGAAAUUCAAGCAAGCGCGGGUAAACGGCGGGAGUAACUAUGACUCUCUUCAGGGGUGGGGUCUGAACGACUUUAGGACCCCACACCAAGUGCCAUC